rnacentral:tRNA from 1 species
ACCCCGGUAGCUUAUAUAUUUAAAGCAUAGCACUGAAGAUGCUAAAAAGGCAAACUAAUGCCCCAGGGUA